rnacentral:rRNA from 2 species
AGAGUUUGAUCAUGGCUCAGAUUGAACGCUGGCGGCAGGCCUAACACAUGCAAGUCGAACGGUAACAGGAAGCAGCUUGCUGCUUCGCUGACGAGUGGCGGACGGGUGAGUAAUGUCUGGGAAACUGCCUGAUGGAGGGGGAUAACUACUGGAAACGGUAGCUAAUACCGCAUAAUGUCGCAAGACCAAAGAGGGGGACCUUCGGGCCUCUUGCCAUCGGAUGUGCCCAGAUGGGAUUAGCUUGUUGGUGGGGUAACGGCUCACCAAGGCGACGAUCCCUAGCUGGUCUGAGAGGAUGACCAGCCACACUGGAACUGAGACACGGUCCAGACUCCUACGGGAGGCAGCAGUGGGGAAUAUUGCACAAUGGGCGCAAGCCUGAUGCAGCCAUGCCGCGUGUAUGAAGAAGGCCUUCGGGUUGUAAAGUACUUUCAGCGGGGAGGAAGGGAGUAAAGUUAAUACCUUUGCUCAUUGACGUUACCCGCAGAAGAAGCACCGGCUAACUCCGUGCCAGCAGCCGCGGUAAUACGGAGGGUGCAAGCGUUAAUCGGAAUUACUGGGCGUAAAGCGCACGCAGGCGGUUUGUUAAGUCAGAUGUGAAAUCCCCGGGCUCAACCUGGGAACUGCAUCUGAUACUGGCAAGCUUGAGUCUCGUAGAGGGGGUAGAAUUCCAGGUGUAGCGGUGAAAUGCGUAGAGAUCUGGAGGAAUACCGGUGGCGAAGGCGGCCCCCUGGACGAAGACUGACGCUCAGGUGCGAAAGCGUGGGGAGCAAACAGGAUUAGAUACCCUGGUAGUCCACGCCGUAAACGAUGUCGACUUGGAGGUUGUGCCCUUGAGGCGUGGCUUCCGGAGCUAACGCGUUAAGUCGACCGCCUGGGGAGUACGGCCGCAAGGUUAAAACUCAAAUGAAUUGACGGGGGCCCGCACAAGCGGUGGAGCAUGUGGUUUAAUUCGAUGCAACGCGAAGAACCUUACCUGGUCUUGACAUCCACGGAAGUUUUCAGAGAUGAGAAUGUGCCUUCGGGAACCGUGAGACAGGUGCUGCAUGGCUGUCGUCAGCUCGUGUUGUGAAAUGUUGGGUUAAGUCCCGCAACGAGCGCAACCCUUAUCCUUUGUUGCCAGCGGUCCGGCCGGGAACUCAAAGGAGACUGCCAGUGAUAAACUGGAGGAAGGUGGGGAUGACGUCAAGUCAUCAUGGCCCUUACGACCAGGGCUACACACGUGCUACAAUGGCGCAUACAAAGAGAAGCGACCUCGCGAGAGCAAGCGGACCUCAUAAAGUGCGUCGUAGUCCGGAUUGGAGUCUGCAACUCGACUCCAUGAAGUCGGAAUCGCUAGUAAUCGUGGAUCAGAAUGCCACGGUGAAUACGUUCCCGGGCCUUGUACACACCGCCCGUCACACCAUGGGAGUGGGUUGCAAAAGAAGUAGGUAGCUUAACCUUCGGGAGGGCGCUUACCACUUUGUGAUUCAUGACUGGGGUGAAGUCGUAACAAGGUAACCGUAGGGGAACCUGCGGUUG